AUGGAGAUGAUGCAUAAAUACACCUGACUUCCAGUGAUGUUUUUGUAUUCAUACUGUCUGAUCCAG